rnacentral:sRNA from 1 species
UGGAUUUCAGUUUCUGUAAGAAACUUCAAAGAUAUCUCUUUCUAAAAGAUGACUGCACUUGGCGCCGGGUUUUGGGCCCUAUUCGGUCGCUUCUGUUGCGUUUACUUAUUAUCCCCUCGCGCAACUUGUUGCAAGGGGAGAUAUAGCAUCGCUGCUGUGCUCGUAUGUAUAUCUACAAAUGUACGUAUGUGUGUCCAUUUCAGCCUUUUUAGCAAAAUUCAAAGAAAACCCUCGCAUGCAUGUGUAUCAAACUUCGUACACUUCAUAAGCAUGUUUAAAGGACAAGCCCUAUUUAUUUUCAAGGAAUUCUGUUGUAUAUUUUUAAAAAUAUCGUUAAAAUUACAACGCAAAGAAAUUUUAUGUACGACUUCCGGUUCGUGAAAGUAAAGAUUUCAAAUC